CCUACGGGAGGCUGCAGUGGGGAAUAUUGGACAAUGGGCGAAAGCCUGAUCCAGCCAUGCCGCGUGUGUGAAGAAGGCCUUCGGGUUGUAAAGCACUUUCAGUGGGGAAGAAAGCCUUGGGGCUAAUACCCUCGAGGAAGGACAUCACCCACAGAAGAAGCACCGGCUAACUCCGUGCCAGCAGCCGCGGUAAUACGGAGGGUGCGAGCGUUAAUCGGAAUUACUGGGCGUAAAGCGCGCGUAGGCGGUCUGAUAAGCCGGUUGUGAAAGCCCCGGGCUCAACCUGGGAACGGCAUCCGGAACUGUCAGGCUAGAGUGCAGGAGAGGAAGGUAGAAUUCCCGGUGUAGCGGUGAAAUGCGUAGCGAUCGGGAGGAAUACCAGUGGCGAAGGCGGCCUUCUGGACUGACACUGACGCUGAGGUGCGAAAGCGUGGGUAGCAAACAGGAUUAGAUACCCUAGUAGUC
rnacentral:rRNA from 1 species